CCCUUUCUUCUCCUCUCUUUGUGAAAAAUCUAAUCCUAAUUCUCCCACUAGGCACUUGCCGAGGAAGAAAGAGAGAACACCGCAGAGAGCUGAUCACUCUCCGAAUCCCUAAUACUCUCAAAUUGGGAGGAGAGAAGGGAAAUAGGGAUCGCAUCAAACGCUACCAAUGGGUCGAUCACUCCUCUCUUCCUCACCAAUUCCUCUGAGGUUGAGAUUUCCCCCGAUACCCAAAUCGUUUGCCUCCGUUCUGAGUCCCAAGAAUGGUCUGCGACCGAGGAGGAUGCCCAUCCAUGCGAAACCCCCGAAGGAACUCCAAAUCAAGGCGAUUAUAUCUGAGUUUCCCAGCAAGAAUCGGUACUCGAAGGUCGGAGCGGAGUCGACGGGGCCAAUACCUGCGGCGGAGCUCCUCCAAGUGGUCGAGACCGCUGCCAAGACAGGCGCAGAGGUUGUGAUGGAAGCUGUCAACAAGCCUCACAAUAUUAAUUAUAAAGGAAUCACAGACUUGGUAACAGACACAGAUAGAAUGAGUGAAUCAACAAUUUUAGAAGUUGUGAAAAAGAACUUCAAAGACCACCUUAUUCUUGGGGAGGAAGGUGGCCUUAUUGGAGACUCGAUGUCAGACUAUCUAUGGUGCAUUGAUCCUUUAGAUGGAACAACAAAUUUUGCACAUGGCUAUCCCAGCUUUGGAGUAUCAGUGGGAGUUCUGUUCCGUGGGAAGCCAGCUGCUGCAUCUGUGGUUGAAUUUGUGGGUGGGCCCAUGUGUUGGAAUACUCGCACAUUUAGUGCAUCUUCUGGUGGUGGAGCCUUUUGUAAUGGACAAAAGAUUCACGUUAGUCCGACUGAUCAAGUGGAACGUUCGCUCUUGGUAACUGGAUUUGGAUAUGAACAUGAUGAUGCAUGGGCAACCAACAUGAAUUUAUUCAAGGAAUUUACUGACAUUAGCAGGGGUGUGAGAAGACUUGGUGCUGCUUCUGUUGAUAUGUCUCAUGUUGCUCUCGGUAUUGUGGAAGCCUACUGGGAAUAUCGUCUUAAGCCAUGGGACAUGGCUGCUGGUGUCCUGCUUACCUACUAUGAUGUGAUUUAUCACUACCCGUGCUCCCCCCCAAACAACAACAAAAAAAAAUCCACAAGGGGAGGGGGCGCGAGUUAAAAAGUGAAUUCUGAUACUCGAGUAUGCAAGAACAAAAUCCUGAUUUUGCUGAUUAAGCAAGGAGAUGAUAUAGGUGGAAUUGUGUUCCUCCCCCCCCUCCCCCUUCCCUUCCUUUCGUACUUUUCGGUAAGUCCGUCCCAAGACCUUUUCUUUGGUUUCUUUUUUUUAUUUGAACUGCCAGAGUUUUAUCUUUAUUUGAAUAUGUUGCCCUUUUUCUUGAGCAGAUAGUUGAAGAAGCUGGUGGGGUUGUCACACGCAUGGAUGGUGGAAAGUUCACAGUCUUUGAUCGAUCUGUUCUGGUGUCCAAUGGUCUUGUUCAUGAUAAGCUCCUGGAGAAGAUAGGUCCUGCAACUGAAGAAUUGAAAAGGAAAGGAAUUGAUUUCUCCUUAUGGUUUAAGCCAGAAGAUUAUGCUACAGAUUUUUGAGUUUGAUAUUGUCUGUGAGGCUUAGGUACAAUGGCUAGCAUGAUCUUGUUGAUUCAGCCUUCAUAUAGUUUUAAAGUGAAAAUAUGUUCAUAAAUAUCUCAUCAUAUUCAGCUUCCGAAGAGUUCAUGGAUCAAACUAGACCUGUUUCUACCUUGAGUGUAGUAUAAACCUAUAUUUUUAUAUCAGGGCUGUUAAUAAAGCGCGAGCCUUCCAGCCUAGGAACUGGGUUUUGCUUUCA